AAGCAAUAUUUACAGUUAAUAAAAGUGGUAUCAAAGUCACUGACUAGUUAUAGCCAUCACGAUAAUUUGGUGUAUGUCAAGUUUACUGUGACAUAUGGAUUUAUCGAUCUCAAUUCAUCAGGCACCAGAAGGUGUACUCGAAAUGUUAUUUUCAUCCAGCAAAAAAGAUAAUUUCAAUCUUGGGAUUUAUUGACUGUAGACAAAAUAAUCACGAAAGAACACAGAAGAAGUCAUGCAGACGAUUUUUAAUGGAUAACCAGUUACUGAACAUGAAUAAAUAUUUUAUGAGAUGUGAGGAAUAUAAAAAAAAAUAUGAUGCAGAUUCAAAAAAGACUUUUGUGUUGAAGAUGUCAAAUAAAAUGAAAAGUGGAGAAAGAAUAAGUCAUGAUGAUCUACAGACAAUGAUCCAUCUAGUUCGGUCACCCAGGGAAUUUGAUCUUUGUGUUGAUAUGGCUAGAAGUUAUCAAACAGCAAAGGUUUAUGCAUCUGAAAACAGCAAAGUUUGUUCACCUGUGAAUCACCAACUAGCAACAGUUCAGUCACCUGUAAAUAUUCAUACACCAGCAGAACACCAGCCAACCAUGUUUCUAUCACCUAAAAUUCACCAAACUUCAAAAGUUCAUGCUCCUGUUAAUCAUCACCAAACAUCCAAGGUUUAUACACAUGUAAAACACCAUACAGCAAAUGUUCAUGUUCUUGCACACCACCAAAACAACAAAGUUCAUUCUCCUGGUAACUUGAACCAUGAUUGCAAGGUUUCUGCAUUUUCAAAUCACCAAACUGUCAAAGAUAACACCUCCUUAACUGAUGAAGCUGAGAAUGUUCCUUUAAAUCCCACAAAGUACCAGAAUAGCAAGAUGGACAUUGGGUCACAGUUCAUGAGGAUGUUGCAUCAUUUUUAGAAAGCAUAUAUCGCUAUCAUGUUUAUGGAAGAUAGGUCCACCAUGAGGAAUUUUUUGUGUAACAAUUCUGUGAUUGAUGUGUAUAUGGAUUUACUAUUCAAGUCAGGAGAAUAUGAGAAAGUUGUAAGAACUUAUGCAGAAAUAGAUUAUUUUAAUGAACAAAACUUACAAAUCAUAUGACACUGGUCGUGGCAGCUUUAUAUAAUUUAAAUACACAGGAAGCUUUGGAGAAAGCUGUUGAAAUCAUACGUGACAAAUAUUUACAAGAUAUAACUGUGACACCACCAAAGGCACGAGCAUUUGCUGCAGCUUUAGCUCUAAGACAGGAUGAUCCUAAUCUGGCAUUGAAUAUUCUACAACUUGGUUCUGAAAGUCAUUCCAUAAAUAAUAUAAACUCAGCAAUAAGACUAAAUGCAUUGAAUGAUAUGGUGAAAAGAAAUAGUGAUCCAGAAAUUCUAGAGAAAUUUACAGAAAUGAAACAUAAUUUACGACAAGCUGGACUAAUAAAUUGUGUGACAUUAUUUCAAAAACUUUCACAUACUUUAUAUAGUAAUCCUCCUAAUAAAUGCAAAUGUGUAUUAAAUGAAUAUUUGACAUCUGAUAGAUGUAUCCCGGUGCAUAAAAUAAAAGUGCUAUAAAUCA